rnacentral:snoRNA from 1 species
UAAGCAAAGGAUGUGUGUAUCGUCUUUGUGCCUUUGCACAAAUGCACUUUUAUCGGAAGAGUUCUCUGCAAAACUAUAUAUUGAGGAAGAUGGACAGUUGUGUUUCAUCAUCUUCCAACCCUUG